UUAACCUACGGGGCGCAGCAGUGGGGGAUAUUGCACAAUGGGGGAAACCCUGAUGCAGCAACGCCGCGUGAGUGAAGAAGGGUUUCGGCUCGUAAAGCUCUGUUGGUAGUGAAGAAAGAUAGAGGUAGUAACUGGCCUUUAUUUGACAGUAAUUACUUAGAAAGUCACGGCUAACUACGUGCCAGCAGCCGCGGUAAUACGUAGGUGGCAAGCGUUGUCCCGAUUUAUUGGGCGUAAAGCGAGUGCAGGCGGUUCCAUAAGUC
rnacentral:rRNA from 1 species